rnacentral:rRNA from 1 species
GACGAACGCUGGCGGCGUGCUUAACACAUGCCAGUCGAACGGAAAGGCCCUGCUUUUGUGUGGUGCUCGAGUGGCGAACGGGUGAGUAACACGUGAGUAACCUGCCCUUGACUUUGUGAUAACUUCAGGAAACUGGGGCUAAUACCGGAUAGGAGCUCCUGCUGCAUGGUGGGGGUUGGAAAGUUUCGGCGGUUGGGGAUGGACUCGCGGCUUAUCAGCUUGUUGGUGGGGUAGUGGCUUACCAAGGCUUUGACGGGUAGCCGGCCUGAGAGGGUGACCGGCCACAUUGGGACUAAGAUACGGCCCAGACUCCUACGGGAGGCAGCAGUGGGGAAUAUUGCACAAUGGGCGGAAGCCUGAUGAAGCAACGCCGCGUGCGGGAUGACGGCCUUCGGGUUGUAAACCGCUUUCGCCUGUGACGAAGCGUGAGUGACGGUAAUGGGUAAAGAAGCACCGGCUAACUACGUG